rnacentral:rRNA from 1 species
AGCGAACGCUGGCGGCAGGCCUAACACAUGCAAGUCGAACGAAGUCUUCGGACUUAGUGGCGGACGGGUGAGUAACACGUGGGAACGUACCUUUUGGUUCGGAACAACUCAGGGAAACUUGAGCUAAUACCGGAUGAGCCCUUAGGGGGAAAGAUUUAUCGCCGAAAGAGCGGCCCGCGUUAGAUUAGCUAGUUGGUGAGGUAAAGGCUCACGAAGGUUACGAACUAUAGCUGGUCUGAGAGGAUGAUCAGCCACACUGGGACUGAGACACGGCCCAGACUCCUACGGGAGGCAGCAGUGGGGAAUCUUGCGCAAUGGGCGAAAGCCUGACGCAGCCAUGCCGCGUGAAUGAUGAAGGUCUUAGGAUUGUAAAAUUCUUUUACCAGGGACGAUAAUGACGGUACCUGGAGAAAAAGCCCCGGCUAACUUCGUGCCAGCCGCCGCGGUAAUAC